AUCAACACUUAUCGAAAUACUUGUCAAAACAGUAAGCAGUGCAGAAAAUCGCCAUGUACACAAGUUUAUUAUUUAAAUUGAUCGUGUUCAUAUUGUUCGCUCAAACGUUGUUAGCUCAAAAAGAUGACUACCCAGACUUGCGGUACGACAUACCGUCCACGAACGAGAAUGUUGGAGACGACUAAACAGGAUAAUUAAUACAAAACAAUAUAUUUGUAAAAAAUG